CCUACGGGAGGCAGCAGUGGGGAAUAUUGCACAAUGGGGGAAACCCUGAUGCAGCGAUGCCGCGUGAGUGAAGAAGUACUUCGUUAUGUAAAGUUCUAUCAGCAGGGAAGAAAAUGACGGUACCUGAGUAAGAAGCCACGGCUAACUCCGUGACAGCAGCCGCGGUAAUACGUAGGGGGCAAGCGUUAUCCGGAUUUACUGGGUGUAAAGCGAGCGUAGACGGCUGGGCAAGUCUGGAGUGAAAGUCGGGGGCUCAACCCCCGGACUGCUCUGGAGACUGUACGGCUUGAGUGCAGUAGAGGGAAGUAGAAUUCCAGGUGUAGCGGUGAAAUGCGUAGAGAUUAGGAGGAACACCAGUGGCGAAGGCGGCUUCCUGGAC
rnacentral:rRNA from 1 species